UAGGGAAUCUUCCACAAUGGACGAAAGUCUGAUGGAGCAACGCCGCGUGAGUGAAGAAGGGUUUCGGCUCGUAAAACUCUGUUGUUAAAGAAGAACAUAUCUGAAAGUAACUGUUCAGGUAUUGACGGUAUUUAACCAGAAAGCCACGGCUAACUACGUGCCAC
rnacentral:rRNA from 1 species